GGGAAAUGCUGCAAUAUAAGAAUGCAAAGAUGUCAGAUUAGCUACUGAUGUUACGUCAGUAAUGUUAUAAUGCAGUUUUAUGAUUCUGUCAGACUUUCACGGGUGGUCGCUGGUUGCUCAUUAUAGGGUCACGGGGGUUUUCGGGUGUUUCCGAUCACACUGGCGCGUUGUUGGUCUGCUGGUGCCGCGGGGUGAAUCGGAGGAGUCCUUCCACCCCUCCGAGCGCCAUCGGACCUGCUGUGCGCAGUAACGUCUUGCUUCUUUCUCGAGUGCGCGCGGAAUAGACUUUGUAUGAGUGUAAAUUAAUAUAGGCUACUGAGUUUAAUAGGCUGUGACUUAUUGGCUGAUUUUAAGCCUUAGUUUUAUAUGCGGGAUGAUGUGCGCGCAUGUAGGCCUGCAGUCGUGACCCGCGGGCGCGCGCUCUCAGCGCUGGAAUGAACUCCUGUAGUGCUACGUGUUAGUGUCAUAAUUGCAUCACAUAAACACACAGAGAGCGCAUUUAACGCGUUUAAACAGAAAAUAUAGAAAGACGAGAAGAGAGGCGAACGACGGGCCAAACGCACACAAACACGCGCGCUGUUCUGGUCAACAAUAACCUCUUGUAUUUCCAUCUCCCUCCUCCCCCCACUCAAGCCAAAAAUCAUUGCCUUUUUCAUUAUCCAUGAAUGUUGACUCUGAUAAGGGGAUCCUGACCAUGAGAGCAUCUCUCUGUCUCGGUCUCCGGCGCUCUUUGCAGUCCUUUGUUUUAUCUCAGGUGAAUUGUAAUCAUGUGAUCAAACGAACACCCCCCUUCCAUUACCCUCUUAAAUGAAAAAAUGAGGAACAAAAAGCAGUUCUGUGUAUAUAAAAAAAGAAAAGAAAAGAGAAAAGACGCGCGUCUCCCUUUGGAGAGUCUUUUCUCCGUGUGGCUUCAAACGUACACAUAUAGAGGAAAAGCGCGGCGCCGUGUCUCCGUCUCUCGGCGGUACAGAUGUGCGGGGAUCAUGCGGAUCUGAGGCCUGCUGCACGCUUUGAUUCAGGAAUGAGUCUGUCUGCCUCAGGCCUGGAUCCCCAGACUUCUCUCUCUCCAUCAGACGCGCUGCAGAGCUUCAGCCAUGGCUCUGGAUCCAUGACACUGUGUUUGUGUUGUCAUUUAGAGAGUAUGUCAAUAAACGUGUGGUUCAGAAAUCUACUUUGGUCACUUCAACUUUACACUGUAAAAAAAAUCCACCUACUUCAGCUUCGAAACUUAAGUUUAGUUCCCACCUUAGUUUUUUAAUUAUAAUUAAACUGACUGCAGAAUUAUUAUAAUUAGUUAACUACAACUAAAAACAUUAUAUAUAUAUAUAUAUCAAUAAGUCAUAACAUGUUUUUUUUUCCAUUAAUUUAACUCAUCAAAUUAAUUUUGCCAAUAUUCAGCUUCAUGUUUAGAGGUUAUACAAUGUUCAACUCAAUUUAUAAAGUAUGUUAAUCAGUUAAUAUAAUUCGUUUUGAAAUGACUUGUACAGACAAUCAGACGAUGUCACUUCCUGCAUCUGAUAUCAUUAAGAAACAGGCUUUUGUUUUACAAAAGGGUUUUACAGUUGACAUGAAGAAAAAAAAAAUUAAGAAACGUUGUUGUCUUUGAACUUUUACUCUGACCCUUGAGGUCAAAGGUCACUGUUAGGAGCAGAAGUUCAGUGCUGUUGCAUAACUGGAUUAGACUAAUAUUACAAAAUAGUAAUCUAUUUUUUUUUUUUGUUUUGUUUUGUUAUUUUAUUUUAAUUUUUUUGAGACUAAUCAAAACCGUUUUAAAGUCAGUUUUCCUAAAAAAAUAAAAUAAUAAAAAAAGAAAGGUAAAAGAGAUUA
ensembl:lncRNA